GUAGGAUAUGCCAUCUGGGUCUGGAGAGCAAUAGCCAUGAAUCCGGGGUUCCCAUUGAAUUAGGUUGUUCUUGUAAGGAUGAUUUGGCUGCUGCUCAUAAACAGUGUGCUGAGGCUUGGUUCCAGAUUAAAGGAAACAAGACCUGUGAGAUUUGUCAUUCCAUUGCUCGCAAUGUGGUUGGAGUAAAUGAAAUUGAGAAAAAAGAGCAAUCAAAUGAGGCAAACAAUGCUACUGCAGUGGCUGCAGCCCCAGCAUCAGCACACCAUUCAGAAACUCAAAGCUUCUGGCAUGGCCAUCGCUUCCUGAAUAGUCUACUUGUGUGCGUGGUAUUUUCAUUUGUCAUAUCAUGGCUCUUUCACUUUAAUGUUCCAUCCUCAUAAACUGUGAAACGUAUUGAGACCAAAUAUAUAUAUAGAAGAAGAAGAAGAAGAAGAAGAAG
rnacentral:misc_RNA from 1 species